UCCCUGGAGGACUAGUGGGUAGGCCACGGUACUCUUACUGCCGCAGCCUGGGUUCGAUUCCCAGCCAGGAAA
rnacentral:tRNA from 1 species